AGAAUGUGUUUCAUAACAGGGAGGCAGCAUUUCAUGGCUACUUGGAGCCUAUUCCCCCUACAAAGGCUGUGGUGUUAGAUGACAAUGGCCAAUCUCACUUUUGUGAGCAGGUAUGUCGAUUGCCCUUGCCCACACAGAGGGCAAUAUGUGAGUGCACCCAUGAGAUUGAGGUCACCACUUGGAAGCAUAUUUCAGUGGUCACCAUGGAUGGACGAUACGAUGUCUGUUUGCCCCGUAAGGUUUGCCCUACCUGCUUAGCGGAAUGGACUCCGGGGGUGAAAGACCUUCUGAACUACCGUUACUGGCCAAGCACCACCAGCUGCCAGACACUGUAUCGUUUUGAUAUCUUUGAAGCUUUUGCAUACAUGAAGGUAUCUGCUUCUUCAAUGUCAAGACAUGCCUUUCUAAAGCUGCUGGAUCACCGA